rnacentral:tRNA from 1 species
CAGGGAAUAGUUUAAGAAGAAUUUCAGUUUUG